CGAGAAUGUAAACAGAACCAAAAUGCACUUCUGUGUGGUGUCUCGGCCAAAGGUGGAAAGAACAGGAAGGGAAGACCGGUCGGGGCAAGAAGUGUCGUCUGUUCUCUCCUAGCCCUCACUUCGCAGUGGCUGAUUCAAGAGGGAAGCCUGCAGGGAUGUCAUCAGGGAGCCAGGACGGUAAGGAGGCCGUCCCUGUGGGCCUGCCUGCCUAGAUGUCUGCUGUGGCCGGGUAGGCUUCCGAAGCACAAGGCACGAGGCACGACGCACACUGGGAAGAAGAGAAGGAGCAGGUUCAGAGGGGAAAGCAAAACGAAAGAAAAUAUCGAAAUACCAUCACCGCCUUUCAGCACAUUUCCCUGCCCUGACCCCAGGAGGAGGCCUUACAUGUGAUGCAUCAGGGGUGCGGUGUCCCGUUACCGGAGCUGAGCUGGAAGGUGGAGCAACAAGGACUCUGCAGAGGUCAGCCUUCCGGUGCGUGGAGCAGGGUGGAGAAUGGAGGACGGCGGAUCUGCAGUGGCAAAUGGAGGAUAACCAGCCCACGAUUUGUGCUGAAGAGGAAAAAGACAAAAGAAACAAGCACAUUAGUAAUUUUCAAAAUGCUGUACUCGUCUCAUUACAUAUCUAUUACUAUUAUUAAUAUUUUUAUUGAAGUAUAAUUGACAUACAUACAUAUCUCUGUUGGACUUUUAUAUUGGACUCAUUCUCACCUUUAUAAAUAACAAAAGAGGACGUCUUUCAAACUCUAAAUGUUCUGAUGAAACUAAUGUAUAUUAAGAGAUUCUAAUGAGAGGCAGCACAGCCUCUCCCAGAGAUUGUAUUAAAGUCUCUUUUGGUUGUAAGUUACAGAAACACACUAGAGCUAGCUUAAACUGAAAAAGAAAAAUAAAAG
rnacentral:lncRNA from 1 species